GGGUUGUGAGGUUAAGCGACUAAGCGUACACGGUGGAUGCCCUGGCAGUCAGAGGCGAUGAAGGACGUGCUAAUCUGCGAUAAGCGCCGGUAAGGUGAUAUGAACCGUUAUAACCGGCGAUUUCCGAAUGGGGAAACCCAGUGUGAUUCGUCACACUAUCAUUAACUGAAUCCAUAGGUUAAUGAGGCGAACCGGGGGAACUGAAACAUCUAAGUACCCCGAGGAAAAGAAAUCAACCGAGAUUCCCCCAGUAGCGGCGAGCGAACGGGGAGGAGCCCAGAGCCUGAAUCAGCAUGUGUGUUAGUGGAAGCGUCUGGAAAGGCGCGCGAUACAGGGUGACAGCCCCGUACACAAAAGCGCAUGUGCUGUGAGCUCGAUGAGUAGGGCGGGACACGUGGUAUCCUGUCUGAAUAUGGGGGGACCAUCCUCCAAGGCUAAAUACUCCUGACUGACCGAUAGUGAACCAGUACCGUGAGGGAAAGGCGAAAAGAACCCCGGCGAGGGGAGUGAAAAAGAACCUGAAACCGUGUACGUACAAGCAGUGGGAGCCCCACCACCAAAGCAUUCUCUGGUGUUGAAGGCCCUGCAAAGCAGCAUCGCGGUGGCGGAGCGUCGUUUGCGACGCCCAACACACAAAACAAGCGGUGAGUGCUUUGGGGUGGGGUGACUGCGUACCUUUUGUAUAAUGGGUCAGCGACUUAUAUUCUGUAGCAAGGUUAACCGUAUAGGGGAGCCGUAGGGAAACCGAGUCUUAACCGGGCGUUAAGUUGCAGGGUAUAGACCCGAAACCCGGUGAUCUAGCCAUGGGCAGGUUGAAGGUUGGGUAACACUAACUGGAGGACCGAACCGACUAAUGUUGAAAAAUUAGCGGAUGACCUGUGGCUGGGGGUGAAAGGCCAAUCAAACCGGGAGAUAGCUGGUUCUCCCCGAAAGCUAUUUAGGUAGCGCCUCGUGAAUUCAUCUCCGGGGGUAGAGCACUGUUUCGGCUAGGGGGCCAUCCCGGCUUACCAACCCGAUGCAAACUGCGAAUACCGGAGAAUGUUAUCACGGGAGACACACGGCGGGUGCUAACGUCCGUCGUGAAGAGGGAAACAACCCAGACCGCCAGCUAAGGUCCCAAAGUCAUGGUUAAGUGGGAAACGAUGUGGGAAGGCCCAGACAGCCAGGAUGUUGGCUUAGAAGCAGCCAUCAUUUAAAGAAAGCGUAAUAGCUCACUGGUCGAGUCGGCCUGCGCGGAAGAUGUAACGGGGCUAAACCAUGCACCGAAGCUGCGGCAGCGAACGUAUCACUUAAAGCGAUUCAGCGGGUUACGAUUGACGGAGCGA
rnacentral:rRNA from 1 species